rnacentral:rRNA from 1 species
GUUAAGCGACUAAGCGUACACGGUGGAUGCCCUGGCAGUCAGAGGCGAUGAAGGACGUGCUAAUCUGCGAUAAGCGUCGGUAAGGUGAUAUGAACCGUUAUAACCGGCGAUUUCCGAAUGGGGAAACCCAGUGUGUUUCGACACACUAUCAUUAACUGAAUCCAUAGGUUAAUGAGGCGAACCGGGGGAACUGAAACAUCUAAGUACCCCGAGGAAAAGAAAUCAACCGAGAUUCCCCCAGUAGCGGCGAGCGAACGGGGAGCAGCCCAGAGCCUGAAUCAGUGUGUGUGUUAGUGGAAGCGUCUGGAAAGGCGCGCGAUACAGGGUGACAGCCCCGUACACAAAAAUGCACAUGCUGUGAGCUCGAUGAGUAGGGCGGG